rnacentral:piRNA from 1 species
UCAGAGAAACUAAAGCUGUUUAGGCAUU